AGGAAAUGGAGCACUUUAUUAGUUAUAUAAAGUAGUUUAAGUCUUUUUCCCCAGUCGGCAGUGAAAUGAAGAGAUUUAAGCAAGAGGAUAAUAACAAUGAAAAAUUUUUGUUGUAGGAAGAUCACUUCUCUAGCAGUAUGAAGGAUGGACCGGAAGGGGAAAGAUUGAAGGCAGAGACCAGUGUAGUCAUUAUUACUGUAGCUGAAGUGGAAAAUGAUGAAGGCAUUUUAAAGAGAAUUUAAUUUGCCUCUACCUUAGCACUCUGCUGCUGCAACUGGAGACUGGAGAAAAAGACUGGGUGAUACUAUUUUCUGAGGUGGUCCUAAAAAGGAGGAAAAAAAAAGAAGAAGAGUAGAACAGUUGAAUAAGAAGUGUGAAGGUAAAAUUAAAUGAACUCUAUAUUUUCUAUUUUAAACCAAGAACAUUUAUUUUAACAAAAAUGGUGCAUAUUGUACUAGUCUAGGUUUGUGAGAUUAAAUACAAGACCUAGGGUCUUUAGUGUACAUUGAAAGAUGCAGUAUGCUGAUUAAUUAUUCAAAACAAUAAAAUUUGAGAAAUUUGUUUAAUGAGAGUUUCUGUCUUAGAGACCAUCAAUAGCUUCAUAUUGAAAAGAAGAUUUUUGUUAUUUUAAUUACUAGUUCCUGGAAUAUAAAAAAAAAUGUAAUGUUUUGUUAGCCCUCUAUCUGUUUUGUUAGACACUUAGCUCAUUUUUGUUCUACCCACUGCACUAGGUGUCCUUUGUAUAUAUAUUCUGCCACUGUAAAAGCAAGAAAGUACCAUUGAUAUAUUUUACAAAGCUGCAGUAUUCUCCAGGCCCAGAGCUGCAAUCACAUCAUUUAUGCUUCCAAAGGGGAGGCUGGUUUAAAUCUUAUUCUUAGUCUCUUAAUCUUAUUUCAUGUCUACUUCCUAGAGGAAAAUUGUGAAAGUGCUAUAAGAUAUAUAGGGGCCUAAUAUUAUGGUGUGAAAAUAUAGUUGAAAUAUGGUAUUCUCUUAAAAUAUAAGGCCUACCAUUUGAGGUAAAUUACUUAGGAAGGCAAUUUUCAGAAAGUGAUAGUUUACCAAGAUAAUUAUUUCAAAUUCACAGUGUGUUUCCAAAAAGAGGCAUAUUUUAUUCUCCCUGACUCCACUGUGGGAUUAGGAUCUCCAUUUAACAUUUAUUAAACACUACCACAUACCCAGAGCUGUUCUAAAACCUUCAUUAAAUGGAGCCCAACAAUUCAGAGAUCUAAAUUACUCAACUCUUAUUUUAUUUUCUUAGAGUCAAACUUUUGAACAAGUUGUAUAAAUCAGAAUCAGGAGGAAGGCAUCAGUGUUUUUAAACAAUUGCCCAGGGGUUCUAUUGUGCAGCCAGAGUUGAGAACAACUGGUCUAAUUUCGGGGGUCUAACCUUGGAAGCAUACUGGAAUCACCUACAAAGCUUCAGAUUAUUGAUACCUUGGAACCAACCCCAGACCUCCUGAUUUAAUGGGGUGCCACCUGGCCAUCAGGUCAUUUAAGAUUUCAAUGUGCAUCCAAGGUUAUGAACCACUGAUCAGUCUAAUAUAUAUGAAAUGAAUUAAUAGCCAACAUGGGCAGUUGAUAUUACUCAGAAGGAUUAAGAGAUAAAAAACCUUUUCUUAAAAGCAGCUCCUAUGUGCAACACUGCUGGUUUCUAUCACCAUUUUUUUUCUAUUCAAAAAUUAGAAGAAACAUAAGUCAAUGCCAAAUAUCGAAUUAAAGAUUUUUAAAAGUUUUACAACUUUUUGGAAUUAUGGAAAUAUUCUAUCUCUUCAUUAUGGUGUUGAUUAUAUGACUGUAUACAUUUGUGAAAACUGAUAGAACUGUAUGCCUUAAAUGGCUGAGCUUUUAUGUAUGUAAAUUAUACCUUGACUAACCUGACUCCCCCUCCUGAAAAACACAAACAACAAAGAAACAUAAAGUAUAUAUGUCUACAUCUAUCUAUCUAUCUAUCUAUCUAUCUAUCUAUCUAUCUCAGGGAAAGUCUUAAGCAAUAUUUCAAACUUCCUUUGUCUGCAAUAUGAUAAAACCAGGACAAAUGCUAAUGCUUAUAAUUGCUUAGUAAGGAAAUACACCAUUACAUUUCAGAAGUAUUUGCAACCAAAUAUUUAAAAAAAUUGUUGGGUUUUAUUUGUUUUAAGCCUCUCUCUGUCAGGGAGAGUCAGCUGAGACUUUGGGGUAGGGUGGAGAAAAUGCACUGCUAACACUCUGUGCUGGACUUACCCAGAUCCAUUCUCUAUUCUCCUCUGUCCACAGUGGCUGAUGGGUACAGACUAUGUUCUUAAGCUCUCUUGCCUUCUGGCUUUCAGAUGGAUUCAGUCAACAGCAAAGACUAGCAAGACAACACCCUAACCCCACCCCACCCCCAGGAAUGUGAUGAUCUGGUUAUAUCCCUGGACCUAGAGGCACAGCCCUAUCAGGAAGCUCUCUCUGUCUCCCUCUCCCUUCUCUUCUCCUUCCCUCUUCUACCACCCCUCUUGAGGCUCAUAGUUUUAGGCCUACAGGUGUUGAUGUGGUUUGGCUGUGUCCCCACCCAAAUAUCAUCUUGAAUUGUAACUCCUACAACUCCCACUUGUCAUGGGAGGGACCCAGUGGGAGGUAAUUGAAUCAUGGGGUUGGGUCUUUCUUGUGCUGUUCUCGCUAUAGUGAAUAAACCUCAUGAGACCUGAUGGUUUUAAAAAGAGGAGUUCCUCUGCACAAGCUCUCUCUCUUUGCCUGCUGCCAUCCAUGUAAGACAUAACUUGCUCCUCCUUGCCUUCUGUCAUAAUUGUGAGGCCUUCUCAGUCAUGUGGAACUUUAAGUCAAUUAAACCUCUUUUUCUUCCCAGUCUCAGGUAUGUCUUUAUCAGCAGCGUGAAAAUGGACUAAUACAGGUUUUAACCAUUUAGGUACCAUAACUAAUCUUAGUGUACUUCCUACACUGGUGUAAAUUGUCCCAUAUUAAAUGUUAUUAAAUGUCCCAGCUGAGUGUGUCUUCUCUCUCUUCCUGGGUUUCUGAUAGAUCCACUCUAUCAGACCCACUCUGGCCACCAGCCGUCUUUUCCAUUGACUAGAGGGAUGUUACUUGAAGGAUCAGUUUUUAGUGGCACCAGAUUUAUGUGGCAAUAAAAUUUGAAAAUAAAUAGGUUUGGGGUCCUACUGACUUGGAUUAAAAUUCUGGCUCUCCAGAAAAUACUAGCCUUGUGGCUUUGAACAAGAUACUUAGCUCCUCUAAGCAUUAACUUGCUCAUCUAUAAUAUGAGUAAAACUACUUUCCCCAUAGGAGCAUUUUAAGAUUAAAUAAAAUAUCAUGUAAAAGGAUCUAGUAUAAUGAUUCUCAACAAUGAGAGUAUAUCAAGGUAUAUCAGUGGUAUUUUUUGAAUGUGCAUAUGUCAUAUACAUCCCUAGAGGUUUUCAGUUCAGUGUGAAGGGCUGGUAUGUAUGUGUUUAUAUGAAGCCGGGAGUGGUGGAGGAGAUGCAGCAUCUCUUUAGUUACCUUUAUGGCUGAAUGUGAUCCUAAGCAAGCAUGAAAUUCAACACCCUAAUACAACAUAGUAUAUAAAUAAAUGUUGUUUUUUUUACCCUUUCUGUCAAUAUUUUGCUAUACUUUAACCAAAAGCCCCCAUCAAAGGAAUCUAUGAUUUUCAUUCCCAAUAAUGACUAAAGGAUUAAACUGCAAAUAUCUAAGCAAAGCAACUUACAUUAAGGAUAAAUAAGUGAUGAAAAAAAUAAUUUCCUGUUUAUUGGCAGGGCAACAGAGAAUUAGAUAGAGUUACUCAGGCAGAGAAGCAAUAAUAUCAAAGUGAAAGACAAUUCAGAAAGAGAGUACUAGAUACUACCAAAGUAAAUGCCUUAUUCUAUUUGUUUCUAUUCACUGGGAGGAAGAAAAAAAUGCUUAAUGACAAUAGAAUGUAACAUUUGUGUCUUGAAAACUAACUGGUCUUGCAGUGCAAGAUAGAAGAUUAAGGAAGCCCUCUUUGAAGAAGAGAUCAAUGAAUUCAGCUGAGAAUUUUGUACCCACCAUGUGCCAGACAUAGUGCUAGGUUCUGGAGGAGACACAACUAUGGAUAAGAUGAGCUUUCUGCCUGAUGAAGUUCAUAGGCUUUCUCCAACUCCAAGUGGGUGAGGACAAAAAGAUGCAGAGAAAAGAUUUUACAUGUGUGUAGAAUGAUCCCUAUAAUUUUCUGGGAAGAUGAACUAAGAUGCACUCCAUACCAAAUGGGUCUAACUGAAUUUCCUACACUAGCUUUUUUUUUUCUUUCACUUUUUACUUUCAAAUUUUCUUUGCCACCUUCGAAAAAGUCAUCUAUAUCCCUCUCUUCUCCUCCCUCUUGUCUUUCCAAUGACAAAUAAUAUGGGCCAGGGCAUGGUCGGAAAUAGAGUCUAUUAAAGAAUAGUAUUUUAUAAUUAUACAGUGUUUGAAAUGCUUGGGAUAUUUUAGAAUAUCUCUUUCUAUAGACUUCAAGAACUAUGAAGAAAAGGGGAACCUGAAU
rnacentral:lncRNA from 10 species